CCUACGGGCGGCUGCAGUGGGGAAUAUUGGACAAUGGGGGCAACCCUGAUCCAGCCAUGCCGCGUGUGUGAAGAAGGCCCUCGGGUUGUAAAGCACUUUCAGUGAGGAAGAACGCCUGGUGGUUAAUACCCAUCAGGAAAGACAUCACUCACAGAAGAAGCACCGGCUAACUCCGUGCCAGCAGCCGCGGUAAUACGGAGGGUGCGAGCGUUAAUCGGAAUUACUGGGCGUAAAGCGCGCGUAGGUGGCUUGAUAAGCCGGUUGUGAAAGCCCCGGGCUCAACCUGCGAACGGCAUCCGGAACUGUCAAGCUAGAGUGCAGGAGAGGAAGGUAGAAUUCCCGGUGUAGCGGUGAAAUGCGUAGAGAUCGGGAGGAAUACCAGUGGCGAAGGCGGCCUUCUGGACUGACACUGACACUGAGGUGCGAAAGCGUGGGUAGCAAACAGGAUUAGAUACCCUUGUAGUC
rnacentral:rRNA from 1 species